rnacentral:lncRNA from 10 species
ACAGCCAGUCAUCCAAGGGUUCAUGAAUAGUUUAACAAAGAAAAGGCAGAGCUAUUGAGUAAUAUGGGCUCAUUAAUUGUGUACUUGCCAGAAGGAUCUGUCUUUAAAUCAUUAAUGCAGGCAACAUUUCUCUCUAGAGCCAUCAAUGUGAUUCUACUGGCUGAAAAAUGUAAUAAAGAUGGAUUUUCUUAUCAUUUUUCUUUUACUUUUUAUUGGGACUUCAGAGACACAGGUUGAUGUUUCCAAUGUCGUUCCUGGUACUAGGUACGAUAUAACCAUCUCUUCAAUUUCUACAACAUACACCUCACCUGUUACUAGAAUAGUGACAACAAAUGUAACAAAACCAGGGCCUCCAGUCUUCCUAGCCGGGGAAAGAGUCGGAUCUGCUGGGAUUCUUCUGUCUUGGAAUACACCACCUAAUCCAAAUGGAAGGAUUAUAUCUUACAUUGUCAAAUAUAAGGAAGUUUGUCCGUGGAUGCAAACAGUAUAUACACAAGUCAGAUCAAAGCCAGACAGUCUGGAAGUUCUUCUUACUAAUCUUAAUCCUGGAACAACAUAUGAAAUUAAG